rnacentral:rRNA from 1 species
AGUGAACGCUGGCGGUAGGCCUAACACAUGCAAGUCGAACGGCAGCACAGUAAGAGCUUGCUCUUACGGGUGGCGAGUGGCGGACGGGUGAGGAAUACAUCGGAAUCUACUUUUUCGCGGGGGAUAACGUAGGGAAACUUACGCUAAUACCGCAUACGACCUACGGGUGAAAGCAGGGGAUCUUCGGACCUUGCGCGAUUGAAUGAGCCGAUGUCGGAUUAGCUAGUUGGCGGGGUAAAGGCCCACCAAGGCGACGAUCCGUAGCUGGUCUGAGAGGAUGAUCAGCCACACUGGAACUGAGACACGGUCCAGACUCCUACGGGAGGCAGCAGUGGGGAAUAUUGGACAAUGGGCGCAAGCCUGAUCCAGCCAUACCGCGUGGGUGAAGAAGGCCUUCGGGUUGUAAAGCCCUUUUGUUGGGAAAGAGAAGCAGCAGGUUAAUACCCCGCUGUUCUGACGGUACCCAAAGAAUAAGCACCGGCUAACUUCGUG